rnacentral:lncRNA from 1 species
UUUUUUUUUUUAUUUUUUUAUUUUUUGGCUUUUUAAGGCUGCACCCACAGCAUAUGGAGGUUCCCAGGCUAGAGUUCCAAUCAGAGCUACAGCUGCCGGCCUACACCAGAGCCACAGCAACUCAGGAGGUGAGGCGCAUCUGCGACCUACACCACAGCUCACAGCAACGGUGAAUUCUAAACCCACUGAGCUAGGCCAGGGAUGGAACCCGCAACCUCAUGGUUCCUAGUUGGAUUCGUUUCCGUUGAGCCAUGAUGGGAACGCCGAGGGGGCCUAUUAUUAAAUUGACAAAGUGAUUCAAAACAUUUCCUAUAAGUUUUAGGGACUUCUGUCUUAAGGACUAUGGUAAGGAAGAAAGGUUAGUAAAACUGGAAAACUUACUUAAUGGAAAACAUACUUUCUAAAGAGUAAGCGUAAAAGAUAAACACUUGUAACUUUAUUUACUUAGUCUUUUUUAGGGCCGCACCUACAGCACAUGAAUGUUCCCAGGCUAGGGGUUGAAUCAGAGCUGCAGCUGCCGGCCUACACCACAGCCACGGCAAUGCCGGAUUCUUAACCCACUGAGCAAGGCCAGGGAUCAAACUUGCAUUCUCAUGGAUACUAGCUGGGUUCAUAACCCACGGGGAACUUCAAAUGCUUCUAACUUUACAAUUAUAAAGAUUCUUCAGCUACAGUCAGACAUGUGUGUGCAUGAGAGUUGGCGUGGAUCAGACAUUACUCAAAACUCCCUCAGCUAUAAAAGGCAGCGGCAGCAAGUAAUAGAAGAAAAUUUCCACUCCACACAUCUACCUUUCUGUCCACUUGUUGCAGUGUGCCAUCUCUCCUGCUAUUAUUUACUGAUGCUUAAGAGCAGAACUAAAUGAUCCCAGAGGCAGAUAAAGGCAGAAUCACUACUACAACCAAGAAUGAAUCUAGACAACUUGUGAUUUACCUGGUCUCAUGUUAUCAAACUAUUAUGAUGUCCAUUAAUAUUUAUAAAAACGAUGGUAAAAUCCUAGGGCACAGCCCCAACAUACUAACUCCUACAGUUAAACAAGAGAAAAUGAAAACACCAAGUAUGUGUUUCUCCUAUUCAAUCAGGUGGCAAUAAAGAAAUUCAUAUAACUUUAAGCUUCCUACCAAAAUCCUCAUCACCUUGAAAGCCGUCAUUAUAUAAAUACAAUGCACUGAUAUCUUAUCCUGAAAGAAAAAUACCCUUAAAAAAAAAAUACCCUUGAAGAAUCUACCAGUUAAAACAGGUAUUUCUACCAAGGGAGAAAACUAAUAUGCACUGAGCACCAUGCUCUUCACAUAUUAUUUCAUCUAAAAUUCCUAUGAAAUGGAAUCUUCACUUCACAGAUGUAGGUCCUGAGGCUCAGAGAAACAAAAUAGCCUGCUUAAAGAUAGGUAGAGAGGUACAUAUACACACAUCAUCUAUAGCAAAUUCUUUUGUAAUUACAGGGUCAUUGGCAUUUCUGGUUAAAAAAAAAAAAUCUGAUUUAAGGAAACCUACAGGGCUAAAACAUUACUUUUGUUUCUAACUCAAUAAUGUAAAAAAUGAACAACUAAGAAAACUUUGAAACACAGUCUUCCUUCUUUUAAGAGGCUAUCAAACUACCCUAAUGCAUACUCGGAAUCUACUAAAAGGAGAAAUUUCAAGCCUCAUGGAACAGUAACAGAGUAUCAUGCCCAGUGAUGCUAACCUAAUUUGUCGUCCUAUGCCCAGCAGUUGCUCUGGGCUAAUUUUUUUUGCCAUGGACCAUCAGUAUUCCCUAUGAGAAUAAAAAUGGCAGGCUAUUAAUGUUUUUGUGAUUAACACCCAAUGCGGAGUUCUCUUGUGGUUCAGCAGGUUAAGGAUCUGGCAUUGUCACUGAAGCAGCUUGGAUCGCUGCUGAGGCACAAGUUCAAUCCCUGACCUAGAAACUUCUACAAGCCAAAGGUGCAGCCAAAAAAAGGAAAAGAAGAAAAACAAACAAACAAACAAACAAAAAAAAAAACCACCUGAUCUGUUUCCACUUUCUUGUUAGCAAUAUUUAAAAAAGGAGGAAUAGGAGUUUCUGUUGUGGGUCAUUGGUAACGAACCCAACUAACAUCCAUGAGGACACAGGUACAAUCCCUGGCCUGGCUCUGUGGCUUAAGGAUCCAGCAUUGCUGCAAGCUACAGUGUAGGUCGCAAACUGGCUUUGAUCUGGCGUUGCUGUGGCUGUGCUAUAGGCUGGCAACUACAGCUCCGAUUCAACCCCUAGUCUGGGAACUUCCAUAUGCCAUGGGUGUGGCCCUAAAAGACAGAAAAAAAAAAAAGAGAAGAAAAGAAAAGAAAAAAAGAGAGAGAGAGAAAGAAAAGCAGAUGAAAUUAUUGAAAAUGUUCAUUUUUAGGAAUAAAGACAAUGUAGGAGUUCCUGUCGUGGCGCAGUGGUUAAUGAAUCCAAUUAGGAACCAUGAGGUUGAGGGUUUGAUCCUUGGCCUUGCUCAGUGGCUUAAGGAUCCGGCGUUGCCGUGAGCUGUGGUGUAGGUUGCAGACGCGGCUCGGAUCCCGUGUUGCUGUGGCUCUGGUGUAGGCCGGUGGCUACAGCUCCAAUCGGACCCCUAGCCUGGGAACCUCCAUAUGCC